rnacentral:rRNA from 1 species
AGAGUUUGAUCCUGGCUCAGGAUGAACGCUGACAGAAUGCUUAACACAUGCAAGUCAACUUGAACUUCGGUUUGGGUGGCGGACGGGUGAGUAACGCGUAAAGAACUUGCCUCACAGAUAGGGACAACAUUUGGAAACGAAUGCUAAUACCUGAUAUUAUGAUUUUAGGGCAUCCUAGGAUUAUGAAAGCUAUAUGCGCUGUGAGAGAGCUUUGCGUCCCAUUAGCUAGUUGGAGAGGUAACGGCUCACCAAGGCGAUGAUGGGUAGCCGGCCUGAGAGGGUGAUCGGCCACAAGGGGACUGAGACACGGCCCUUACUCCUACGGGAGGCAGCAGUGGGGAAUAUUGGACAAUGGACCAAGAGUCUGAUCCAGCAAUUCUGUGUGCACGAUGAAGUUUUUCGGAAUGUAAAGUGCUUUCAGUUGGGAAGAAAAAAAUGACGGUACCAACAGAAGAAGUGACGGCUAAAUACGUGCCAGCAGCCGCGGU